rnacentral:rRNA from 1 species
UACAGGGGGGGCAAGCGUUGUUCGGAAUUACUGGGCGUAAAGGGUCUGUAGGUGGCCAACUAAGUCAGACGUGAAAUCCCUCAGCUUAACUGGGGAACUGCGUCUGAUACUGGAUGGCUCGAGUGUGGGAGAGGAAUGCGGAAUUCCAGGUGUAGCGGUGAAAUGCGUAGAUAUCUGGAGGAACACCGGUGGCGAAGGCGGCAUUCUGGACCACAACUGACACUGAGAGACGAAAGCCAGGGGAGCAAACAGG